GUCAUUUCUUCUGGAAUGGGUAAUGACCCAAAUCUAUAUGGCCCCUGGAUUGGACUGCGGCCGAUCAGGCUGUUGGUGAGGUAAUGGCCCACCAAACCUGUAACCGGUACGGGCUCUGAGAGGAGGAGCCCGGAGAUGGGCACUGAGACAAGGGCCCAGGCCCUAUGGGGCGCAGCAGGCGCGAAACCUCUGCAAUAGGCGAAAGCUUGACAGGGUUACUCUGAGUGAUUUCCGUUAAGGAGAUCUUUUGGCACCUCUAAAAAUGGUGCAGAAUAAGGGGUGGGCAAGUCUGGUGUCAGCCGCCGCGGUAAUACCAGCACCCCGAGUGGUCGGGACGUUUAUUGGGCCUAAAGCAUCCGUAGCCGGUUCUACAAGUCUUCCGUUAAAUCCACCUGCUUAACAGAUGGGCUGCGGAAGAUACUAUAGAGCUAGGAGGCGGGAGAGGCAAGCGGUACUCGAUGGGUAGGGGUAAAAUCCGUUGAUCCAUUGAAGACCACCAGUGGCGAAGGCGGCUUGCCAGAACGCGCUCGACGGUGAGGGAUGAAAGCUGGGGGAGCAAACCGGAUUAGAUACCC
rnacentral:rRNA from 1 species